rnacentral:ribozyme from 1 species
GAUCUGAUUUUGAUUUUUUUUCUUCUGGUUUCUUUUUCUUUUUUCUUACUCGGAGU